AGCAUGUCAGUAAGUGUGUAGAGAGUCACUAGACACUUUUUCAUAUGUGAAUGGUCGGAUCUUAUCACAUGUAGUUCUUUAGAGUGAAAGGGAGAUGGAUCCGAUAAGAUGCUACGAAUAAUAAAAAAAUAAUGUGUAGGCCUAGGUUUCUAUUGAAGGACUAGUGUAAAUAUGGACAAUUAGGCCUGUUUGUUGUAACUUUUCUAUAGCCACAACAACUGCUCUUGGUUGAAGUGUGUGAUAGUAAAUAUUGUUCUGCGGAGCCGC
rnacentral:lncRNA from 1 species